UAACCCCUGCAGCUCCCCUCCAGCACCAUGCAGGACACACCUCUGCUCUCAGACAGCCCUAUUGAUUUGUCCAGCUGAUAAAGUCUGUCUGCAGGUUAGCUGGUGUGUUAAAUACCCCUCUUUUCACCUCCUAGCCUAGCGUGUGUUUGUGUGGGGCUGGAGUGGACUGAGGUGAGGACACAGACGGACACAGGCGCCAUGCAAGUGGUACCAUUGAUCAGGUGCCAUUCCAGCCUGGCCCAGACCCUGCCCCCAGAAGAGGCCCCCGUGGACCGGCCGUUUUGGGCCGACGGUGACCCCAGCAUGCCUCUGCCCUUUGACCUGGCUGACAUCAUCAACAGGGUGGAGUCACUCCUCUGGAGGAUGUGACGGAUGGGACACAAAGUAAAGAGAAGGAGAAAGAGAGCGAGAGAGUCACCCCGUCAUCUGAACAGCCUCUAUCGUGAGGACAGACGACAGAGGAGGAGAACAGGACCUACCAACUCCUGAUGGUGUCAACGUCCUCCAAUGGGGGUAGACUUCCCCACCCCAGCCCAAACGGAACUCCACCCAACCCUGUACCUCGCCCCACCCCGCCCAAACCAGUCUCAUCUAGCUUUGCUUGGAUUGACUCAACAUGGCUGCAACAUGAGGAUGGAACCCUGAGUAGUGCUUUGCUAACAUGCUAUAGCUGGUAUUGGAACUUGUCUCACAAUGGUAACGUGGAUAACCUGCAGAAUUAAAACUGAAUGUGUAGGAAUGUAUUAUUUCAAUCAAUGUUCUGUUUCUUUUCUACAUUUAACCAGCUUUGUGUAUGGAUAUGACAACUAGUCAUACAGAUGUAGGAUCUUUUAAUUUGACCAGACAUUUUUGUAGGGGUUGAAAUUUCCUGCAACAACAGGGUGAUCAAAUUAAAAUCCUAUAUCUGUAGUACAUUUAUACUUUCUGUUUCUAACUCAAUGUUGUUCUAAUUAUACUGUUGUAUCCUAAUGUCCAUUCACUUCCUGUAUUUCACAACUUUCUUGUUCAGAAUCUCCCAGGGCAUGACUUUGUGUUACUAAGAUGUGACUGACUCUGUGUGUGUGUGUGUGUGUGUGUGUGUGUGUGUGUGUGUGUGUGUGUGUGUGUGUGUGUGUGUGUGUGUGUGGUUGAAUGUGUGUGUGUGUGUGGUUGAAUGUGUGCCACUGCAGUAUUUACAGUAUGUGAUAUUGUAUAUGUGUGAAGCAGUAUGAUAGGGAUAGGGCCUGUAGCAGGGCUGGGAGAUGUUUGUGUUAGAGAGGAAAGGACAUGAGAGUCUAGUAGGCAGGCAUGUCUCUAGUCUGCUCUGUAGGGCUGAAAGGCAGCCCAGGCAGACAGCUACUGUAGGGCUGAAAGGCAGCCCAGGCAGACAGUUUAUGUAGGGCUGAAAGGCAGCCCAGGCAGACAGCUACUGUAGGGCUGAAAGGCAGCCCAGGCAGACAGUUUGUGUAGGGCUGAAAGGCAGCCCAGGCAGACAGUUUAUGUAGGGCUGAAAGGCAGCCCAGACAGAC